CUUUUCAUCCCAUAAUAGCUUUGCUUUUUAGGAGCUUUUGCCAAAAAGCUCUUUCAAAUAGCUAUUGGAAGUCUCAGCAGAAUAUAUCAACGUGAGUUGUCCGUGGGCUGGUUGACUUCUCAUGCUCUAGUACAUUUUGGAGACACGAUUUGCCUUGCCCAAAGAAGUGUUCACUCUGCUUAACAUUUUAAAGUUUUUGAUGCAUCCACUGAUUCUGUUCUUUAGAAAAGCUACUGUAAAUUCAUUUUUGUUGACCUCUUGUAUAAUCUCCUCCAUAGGCCCAACAGUGCCAUCACCAUGAAGUCCCUAUCUGUGAUUUUCCUUUGGGUCUCUUGCAUGAACAAUUAAGUUAUUUGUCAAAGCUGACAGUUAAGCAUUGACCUGGACACCUGGCUAUCUCACUGAACUAUGAAUGGUGAUUUCUCCAAAUGAUUUUCCCAGGUUUACUUGCAGAUUCGCACAGGCAUCUGUGGAACGACAGCAGCCACUUCACCUUCUUCAGAUUUCUCUACCUCUCUAAUAGACAUGCAUCUUCUCCUGCCCCCAUAGAAUCAUAGAAUUGCCCAGGUUGGAAGGGACCUUGCAGAUCAUCUUGUCCAACCUUCAACACAUCACAAGUUCACAUUGACUACCUUCACCUCCAGGAUCUCCAGAUCUUCUUGAAAAGCACCAUUUCCCAGGAUACCAUCCAUCCAGCACUCCUGGAAGACCAUCCUGUCUUGGUCCUGUAUGUCCUUCCACAUCCAUGAAGAUGUUGUGUAGCACCAAGAUCUGCCAGAGACUUCCAAGAAGCUCGAGGAACCUCCAUUUUGAGAAUAAAGGUGUUCCAUCAGGAUGAGGAGAGGUCACCAGUGGUUAAUCAGAGUGACACUGGCCUACAUGCUACUGCAUUCAACCCAGAAAUACCCCAGAAGAUAAGUCACCAUCGACCACGCGAGGUCACGAGGGCAGGAACGGGCUGUGCAGCCCACAGCUUGUAGGACCUGCAGGAAAAAGGGUGUCUGAAGAUGUCAAAAAAGGGUUUGCAUCCCAGGAUUGUCCCUGCCAGCAUGGGACAAGUGACCUCUCUUUUACAGGUAGGUCACUUGGAAGUGAACUAGUGCUUCCAACCAAGCUAUUCAUUUGGCUUAUUUUCUUUUCUACUUGCCUUGUUACAAAUAAAAGGAAAAAAUAAAGUGGCAGACAUUUUAGAGAGUGAAUGUUGCAUAGUGAUAGAGGGUAGUAUCUGCUGGUAGUUUAAAGAGACUUCAGAAAAUCAAGGAUUAAAUGUCUUCCCUAACAUUAACACUGUACUAAAUCAAAAGCUUUACUCUUCCUGAAUUUGAAAUAGAUUUAGC
rnacentral:lncRNA from 1 species